GUUGUUGGGUAGGGGAGCGUUCUGUAAGCCGUUGAAGGUGACCUGUGAGGGUUGCUGGAGGUAUCAGAAGUGCGAAUGCUGACAUAAGUAACGAUAAUGCGGGUGAAAAACCCGCACGCCGGAAGACCAAGGGUUCCUGUCCAACGUUAAUCGGGGCAGGGUGAGUCGACCCCUAAGGCGAGGCUGAAAAGCGUAGUCGAUGGGAAACAGGUUAAUAUUCCUGUACUUGGUGUUACUGCGAAGGGGGGACGGAGAAGGCUAGGCUGGCCGGGCGACGGUUGUCCCGGUUUAAGCGUGUAGGGGGAGUGACCAGGUAAAUCCGGUUGCUUAUCAACCCUGAGGCGUGAUGACGAUGCACCACGGUGCAGAAGCAGUUGAUGCCAUGCUUCCAGGAAAAGCCUCUAAGCAUCAGGUAACAUUAAAUCGUACCCCAAACCGACACAGGUGGUCAGGUAGAGAAUACUCAGGCGCUUGAGAGAACUCGGGUGAAGGAACUAGGCAAAAUGGUGCCGUAACUUCGGGAGAAGGCACGCUGGCGUUAGGUGAAAGGACUAGCUCCUGGAGCUGAAGCCAGUCGCAGAUACCAGCUGGCUGCAACUGUUUAAUAAAAACACAGCACUGUGCAAACACGAAAGUGGACGUAUACGGUGUGACGCCUGCCCGGUGCUGGAAGGUUAAUUGAUGGGGUCAGCCGCAAGGCGAAGCUCUUGAUCGAAGCCCCAGUAAACGGCGGCCGUAACUAUAACGGUCCUAAGGUAGCGAAAUUCCUUGUCGGGUAAGUUCCGACCUGCACGAAUGGCGUAAUGAUGGCCAGGCUGUCUCCACCCGAGACUCAGUGAAAUUGAACUCGCUGUGAAGAUGCAGUGUACCCGCGGCAAGACGGAAAGACCCCGUGAACCUUUACUAUAGCUUGACACUGAACAUUGAGCCUUGAUGUGUAGGAUAGGUGGGAGGCCUUGAAGUGUGGACGCCAGUCUGCAUGGAGCCAACCUUGAGAUACCACCCUUUAAUGUUUGAUGUUCUAACUCGGCCCCAUGAUCUGGGGUGAGGACAGUGUCUGGUGGGUAGUUUGACUGGGGCGGUCUCCUCCCAAAGAGUAACGGAGGAGCACGAAGGUUAGCUAAUCACGGUCGGACAUCGUGAGGUUAGUGCAAAGGCAUAAGCUAGCUUGACUGCGAGAGUGACGGCUCGAGCAGGUACGAAAGUAGGUCUUAGUGAUCCGGUGGUUCUGAAUGGAAGGGCCAUCGCUCAACGGAUAAAAGGUACUCCGGGGAUAACAGGCUGAUACCGCCCAAGAGUUCAUAUCGACGGCGGUG
rnacentral:rRNA from 1 species